rnacentral:lncRNA from 1 species
AUUUUUGCGGUGAAUGGACAGGAAGAUUUGUUUCUAAAUGCUUGAGAAAAUAAAGAGAAACCUGUUUAAAACUGCUUUUUUGAAACUAUGGUUUGGCUAGUAGGCCAGAAUAAAUCAUUAAGUCAUGUCUAAUGGUACCCUCCGCAACACGCAACCAAGCACUUUGCAAAGCCUGAUGGGUGGAUUGAGAAUUUGGGUUUUUUUCCCCCUGAAUGAAUUUUUCAUUGUAAUUUCUGUUUCUUUAUAUUUUGAUUGGAGAUUGAGACAAUGGAAACAAUCUGUAAUUUUCUCCUUGAAAACCAGCCAACAAACCAAAUCUUCUAUUAUCUUGAUAAAUAUUAACUUCUGCUGAUCUUUAAAUGUAUUAGUGGAACAGAAUGCAGGUUUUAAAAAGAUAGUACAGAAGUUAUUUUCCUGCAAUUGACUGCAUAGUACACGGUGGAAUCCUGCAAACAUUGAUAUAUACGAAUAGUUCUAACUGAAAAUGCUGGAAGCCUUGGAACAAAGGCCAGUCUUCUCAUAGGCAGAAAAGUGUUUUAUGCUUGAAUUUUCUGGCACCAGUUCCUGUGGCUUUAAAGAAAAGCCAUCUAGGUGCAGGAUGCCUAGAGACGAAUGAUAGGGAAAAAGGUCUCUGUGACAUCGGUCCCUACUGGCACUGACUAUACAAGUGGAGAGAUACCUAGACAGAAGAAGGGAGCAUGCUAUAUUCCAUCUGUUCUCAAGCAGUCCUGGGCUGUGAGCCACCCGAGCCUGGCAUUGUGUCAUUGGACUUUCAUAACAGCAAGAUGGCCUCAUUACCAUGUGCACAGGCAGCCUUCAGUGAAUGCCAGCUCAUACCACGCAUCUGACAUCAAUUUGGGAAUAAAGCAUUUGAAAAAUGACAAUGUUAGUAGUUUGGAAGUGGAAUUGUACUUUUGA